GCGGUCCCGGCUACAGGCAGCUGCUGACGCUACCGGCAGAGGGAAGCGUGCCUGAAGGCCGCGCUGCGGGCGGGACGCAGCCAGCAGGAACCGAGCUGGUGCGGGUUGUGUGCCCUUUAGCGGCUGCGCAGGCGCGAGCCCGCCCUGCUGCCCCGGGGCACUCCGCCCCGCGCUCCCGCGCAGCCAAUGAGCGCGAGGAGGCCGUAGCCGUGGGCGGUGCCCGGGGCCUGCGCGGGGCAGAUGGCGCCGGGUGUGAGGUGGCGCGAGCGCAGUCUCCUGUCGCUCCCCGUCGCCUUCCCGCCUCGGGGUGUGUGGUAGCCAGCCUCCUCCGGGGCAGGUCCCGCUGCGCCGCCUCAGCCUGGCCCCUCGCCUGGAGGAGCCGAGGACGAGUCUCCUGCGACCGCGAAGUCCGGUCUCUCGUUAAGACGAAGAGACGCUAAGCCCGCGCUCCUGUGUUUAGGCUAAUGUCAUGACAAGCUGUUUUUUAAAGAUGGAAGUUACUAUGAGGGCAAGUUUGUCAAUGGAGGAGUUAUGGGGAACGGAUUUCAAUGCUGGGCAUCAACAGUGUCCUGAGCAGAAAGAAGUUCUUUGAGUCAAGAUCUGUCCCAGUAAGCUGCUCCAGAAAAGAAUUUCUGCUGUUUCUGUUUGUUCCUGUGCAGGAAUGAGGAUUAUUAUGAAGCAGCCUGGAUUCUAGACAAGUGUCAAGGUCAUGGAACAUUGCCUUGUGCUGUUGGAACAGUAUAUGAGAAUUAUGAAAGAGCUAAGCAGCCUUCUGGAAAUGGUCUAAGACAUACCUGUGACCUACAUCUUACAGAGGAAGCAGUGCACAGCUGAAUCCAACUGCAUGUUUACAUACAGUGAUGCAAGAUGAAGACCCUUAUGAUUUCAGUACAUAAUUUAGAUACAAUUCCAGUUACAGGGCAGUGGAGAAAUGACGUAUUCAAUGAACAGGGCGUAAUAGUUAAUUGUUCUGGUGACAUCUGUGAUGGACUGUGGAUCAAUGGCUACCCUGCUGCCUGUAGAAAUUUUGGAAGAAGCUAUGGUGGAGAAGGCAAGUCUUUGCAGCCCAUGAGGAGGACCACAGUGGAACAGAUAAUCACUCUGCAGCCCAAGAAGGACCCCACACCAGGGCAGGUGGACAUUUCCUGAAGGAACUGCAGCUCAUGAAAAGCCCACGUGGGAGCAGGUUCUCCUGACGGGAACUGUGGCUCGUGGAGGACCUAUGCUGGAGCAGGGGAAACGUGAGGAGGAAGGAGCAGCAGAGAGGGACUGCUAUGGUCUGACCGCAGCCCCCCAUUCCUCAUUCCACUGCACCACUGGAGUUGUGGUCUGGAGAUCUGGCUGACAUCAUAAACCACCAAAUCCCAUCAAGUUCAACUACCAGUUUAUUUGAGUUAAAUGAAGAAACCAAGAGGAAAACAGUUAACUCCUGUCAAUUCUGGAUUUGCACUGGCUGAUUUACCAAUCCCGAAGGGAGACAGAGCCAGAAUCUGGAUCUGACGCCCUAUAUGGAGCAGGAGAUGUUUCGAGCAGCCAGCAUGAAAGGAGGCAAAAAGCCAAGUGGCAGGAUAUCUGCUGAGAAAGCUGAGAAGAUGACAGUCUCACAGGAGAAAAUGGAAGACAGCAGAUCUUACAUGAUAUCCAAAGAAUAGAAGUUACAAAAGGAUCAGCUAAUCAUAAAGAAUUCUAAGACAUUACAAGGCCAGUAUGUGCUUAUGGUCCAUGAAGUGACCAUGUCCCCAUUCUUGGGCCAGACUCUCACACCUGCCUUCAAACUCUUGAAUUUUUCCAGAGAAAACCAAAACCAAGAACAAAGAUUGUUUCAAAGUCACCAGCAAGUAAAAAGGAUCAAACCCCACAGCCAGGGCUCUUAUGCAAGGGACACUGAAGUCAAUGGAAUUUUUCCCAUUGAAUGCAGUGGAAGCUGGAUUCAGUCUUUUCAUCCCAGUCACCCUUGUAAGGUUUCUCAUGCAGGAAUGGGGCUUCAGUUUUGAAAAUUAUGGUCUUAAAAUAGCCAAGAAAAUGACUUAAAGAUCUGUGUCAUGGUCAUCGUCUUACUAUUAACAUUUUAGAAGAAAAAAAAUAUAUUGUCUGUAGAGAUUUGAAAUACAGAUGAAAUUUUUUUCAGUUCUGUCUUCAAUAUAUGUUUGGAUGUUUGGUUUUUAAGAAUUUUGAUCAAAUAAUAUGGUAAACUUUUAUGACAAUUGUAAUCACAUCUCUAACAUGUUUCAUGCAAUUCUCGUUCACAAAGUACCUCUCUUGCAUGAGGACAGCCAAGUAACUCUCCUCAAACUGAUAGUGAAUCUACUGGCUUCAAACCACCAGUUUUCAAAAGAGUUAUCAACUUCACUGAUUUUUGUGCAAAUUUAUCUAAUGAUUGCAAGCAACAUGGAACACUUUCAUUAUGAAAAUUAUGCUGAUGUACUUAUCUGCUCAUAUGCAUUAAUGUCUAUGUAUUCACUGUAUGAAGAAAUUUGCACUUGAAGAAUAAGGUAGGAGGUCUCUAAAAGUCUCUUAACUUCAUUCCAGUGCCUUUGCCUGGAAUUGUCAGAGGUUGACAAUAUCUGUAAAGAGGAGGGCUAGCGUUAAUUCACAUCACUGAAUCAAAAAUCUAUAAUUAGGCCUUAUCUUAGGUGUCCAUUGUAGAAGUGAAUAGAAAAUGUCAAAAGCAGAUCAAGUGCCUUAAAUCUAACUUGAAGGAAGUUUUCCCUAAAGAGCCUCUUAAGGUAGAAAUCAGCUUUGGAAAUGCAGAUGUGGCAUUGCAAGGCAUGCCAGUGGCAUUCCAUAACUUGUAAUAUAUUGAUUUUUUUACCUUCAGUGUACAUCUGAUUGAUCUUCAUCAUCUUUGCGCCUUCUUUGGAGAUGAACUUUAUGAUUUCCUUCACGUUUUCUUAUAAUGCAAUAAUUUUAGUUGAAUAGUAUUAGCAGUUACAAAUAACAGCAGUAUUUGGCACUUCUCAGUCUUCAUUCAAGAAUCUCAGGCCUUCUGUUCCUUGAAGUUAUGGCCAAAAUUUCACACCGAGAUCCACUAGUUCACUCUGCAGUCCCAGGUUUGAUGCAGCUGCAUUAUACAUGACUUGGGUAUCACAGUGGAUCUUUUAGGCCUUAUUCUAAUGAACUGAAUGAAGGAUAAAUGAGAUAAGUCGAAUUACCUAGCACUUUACUACCUGCUUAGUGCAUACAUGGGUGAUUACUGUGAAUCAGCGAAGAUGGAUAACCUCAUGAUAACUUAUCUCUCUGAAGUUGUUAACCCUUUAAUCUCCCUGAAGGAUGGUUUUGUAGUUCUGCAGAUGGAGAACCAGAAACUUGGUUAAAGUACUACAAGAGAUCACAGACCUUGGCAGCAGAACCCAGAAAUCUUGACUUUGGUAGUCCUCUACAAUGCAACUGAAUGGUAGUUCUCUUAUUUUACAUCUCAUUUUCAUGAGAUCUUCAUUGAUUCUGAGCAUUAUUGCAUGCCUUUUUUUAACUAUUAAACCGAAACCCUUACUAUGAAAAAGUAAUUUAACUGCAAGUAUUGUAAAUGUAUGAGCUUCUUAAUAUGGUGUCUUACUGCUUUGUCCCCAAGUAAAUAUACAGCUGCCAAUGUCUCUAUUAUUAGGCAGAACUAAGAUGGAUUGUGUUGUUUAUCAGAUACAUGAAUAACUGCUAUGUAUGGACCAAAAAGAAAUCAAAUCUUGUAAUCAAAAAGGCUUCAUCCUUCUCUGUACUUUCCAGAUUUUAUCUCUUCAUUUGCCUUCUGAAAUAGGCUUUUUAAUGAACAGAAAGCCUGGAGUAUGAAGUCUUUGUACCAGUGGACCUUGUUAACCAGGCAUUUGUGAAUUCUUUUCAGACUCCAGAAUAACAAGCUACAUUUGCUAUUGAUGUAAUGACAGCUUUCACUACGAACAAUCAGUCUUGUGCUUUCAGUUCACUUAAGUUUUAACAGUAGGCCUUUUCUAGGUUAGCUAAUCUUGAACAACUACAUGCUCUAACGCUGUCUCUGGGGACAACGAGAACUGCAUGAACUAUGUCUCUUAGAAAAGCAGGAUUCUCUUUUUCCUCUGACUAUCCAUUUAGAAGUCUAAUUUUCAUAUAUGUUAUUUCACACAGCUACAUCACUAUCCCUUUUCCUGCUACCAUGCAGACACCAGCCCAGUAAAAUGAAGACAACAGAAAUUCCUGGUAGUUCUUCAGUGACAUUUGUUGGAUUGUUUGUUAGGAUUAUGGAGACUGUAUAUGAGAGCCAAGAUCUCAAAAUGUAACAAUAAAUGAGCUGUUUUGGUAUUUUUAGUAUUUCCAUGUGGAUUUCCUUCUUGUGGAAACUACAUGCUGCUAUGUGUUAGGUUUGUACACUUAGAUUGAGGGUGUAGGGGAAGGAACAAUAAGUUUUGCAAAACGAGAAUAUUUAGUGGCUUGGUCUUUUGUGUGCUGAUUUACUGUAUGGCACUCUGUAAACCCCCUUUUUUUGAAAAUUCCUAACAUACAAUGUUAGCGACAAGAUUUGGAUUUUCUUCUAAUGUAAAGAUUAGGCACUUUGCUUAACGUCCCAAGAGAGUCCCUGGUGAGAAGCAAUUACUAGCCAUUAGUCCUGUAUCAAGACAAAUUUUUAAUUUAACUUUUUUAUCUCCUGACUACAAUCUUUAUCAAGAUUGACAAUACUUACAAGUAGCAAGUCUUUCCUUAGUCUGGUGGAUGUGCAGAAUGGAUCAUUAUCACACAAUAUACUUUAAGGCUCAGGAGAAAGAAGUCAAAGUGAAUAUUACUAGUGAAGAUACGCAGGAGACACAGCUACCUCACGUUUUAAAAUGUCCUUUAGAGCAUGGUAAUGCAAACAGUCAGUGUGUCUCUUGGCAUCAACAUACAAUCUUUUAUGUACAACUAAGUAUUGGGUUUUUCCUCCUCCUUUGUUUAGUUUGUCAUAAUGAAUGCUAAGUUGGGGCUGGGGAGGUUAUAUGACAAAUAAGCUGUGAUCUUUAAAAAAUGGAUGACCCUCCUAUUUUAUAGUGAUUUUUUAGGAUUACAGAAUGUGCAAUUGAAGCCAAAGCCUCCUUUCAUGUACACACCCCAGUGGUGGCAAAAUAACAGACCACAACUAGUGAGAGAAUCAUUUAUUCUAAUCUUGUAAAACACUUGUAGGCUGUGGUGGUCCAAAAAUCAUAGGUCAUAUUAGCUGCAUUUUUAUACUUUUAAAAGAAGAAAGUCUAUUACAUCUUCUAGUGUAUUUAAUAUAAAUUCUCCAGACAACGAUUGCUGUGUGAACUGUACUGCGGGUUUAUAGUUUAUUAAAAUGUACCGAGCCAAAUCCUGAUGUCAAUGAAAUCUGUUAAAUUCCUCCCAGAUAGAUAUAUUUUUAAAUACAUAAUGUAAAGUGUUUGCUUUCUAAGUAAUCUUUUUCUCAUGUCAGUAAUUAUAUUUGUAUAGAUAUAGGUGAAAUCUUAAAUAUGCAAUCCUCAAGGAACUAGCAUAUUUUAUAGACAACUUAAAUGACCUUUCAUCUCACUGUUUUUACUUUUUGUUCAAUGUUGUCUACUCCCCUCCCCACCUGGAAUUCUAUAUUUCUAUUAAUGAUUGUGCUACUUAAA